CAAUUGCGGGCAGGGCCUACACAUGCAAGUCGAACGGCAGCACAGUGGUAGCAAUACCAUGGGUGGCGAGUGGCGCGACGGGUGAGGAAUACAUCGGAAUCUACCUUUUCGUGGGGGAUAACGUAGGGAAACUUACGCUAAUACCGCAUACGACCUUAGGGUGAAAGCGGAGGACCUUCGGGCUUCGCGCGGAUAGAUGAGCCGAUGUCGGAUUAGCUAGUUGGCGGGGUAAAGGCCCACCAAGGCGACGAUCCGUAGCUGGUCUGAGAGGAUGAUCAGCCACACUGGAACUGAGACACGGUCCAGACUCCUACGGGAGGCAGCAGUGGGGAAUAUUGGACAAUGGGCGCAAGCCUGAUCCAGCCAUGCCGCGUGGGUGAAGAAGGCCUUCGGGUUGUAAAGCCCUUUUGUUGGGAAAGAAAAGCAGUCGGUUAAUACCCGAUUGUUUCUGACGGUACCCCAAAGAAUAAGCACCCGGCUAAACUUCGUGCCCACCAGCCGGCGGUAAUUACGAAGGGGUGCAAGCGUU
rnacentral:rRNA from 1 species